rnacentral:rRNA from 1 species
ACGGGUGAGUAAUGUCUGGGAAACUGCCCGAUGGAGGGGGAUAACUACUGGAAACGGUAGCUAAUACCGCAUAACGUCGCAAGACCAAAGAGGGGGACCUUCGGGCCUCUUGCCAUCGGAUGUGCCCAGAUGGGAUUAGCUAGUAGGUGGGGUAACGGCUCACCUAGGCGACGAUCCCUAGCUGGUCUGAGAGGAUGACCAGCCACACUGGAACUGAGACACGGUCCAGACUCCUACGGGAGGCAGCAGUGGGGAAUAUUGCACAAUGGGCGCAAGCCUGAUGCAGCCAUGCCGCGUGUAUGAAGAAGGCCUUCGGGUUGUAAAGUACUUUCAGCGAGGAGGAAGGUGUUGAGGUUAAUAACCUCAGCAAUUGACGUUACUCGCAGAAGAAGCACCGGCUAACUCCGUGCCAGCAGCCGCGGUAAUACGGAGGGUGCAAGCGUUAAUCGGAAUUACUGGGCGUAAAGCGCACGCAGGCGGUCUGUCAAGUCGGAUGUGAAAUCCCCGGGCUCAACCUGGGAACUGCAUCCGAAACUGGCAGGCUAGAGUCUUGUAGAGGGGGGUAGAAUUCCAGGU